UAAAUACUAAUACCAGAUCGAUAGUGCACAAGUACCGUGAGGGAAAGGUGAAAAGAACUGAGGUGAUCAGAGUGAAAUAGAACCUGAAACCAUUUGCUUACAAUCAUUCAGAGCCCUAUGUAGCAAUACAGGGUGAUGGACUGCCUUUUGCAUAAUGAGCCUGCGAGUUGUGGUGUCUGGCAAGGUUAAGCAAACGCGAAGCCGUAGCGAAAGCGAGUCUGAAUAGGGCGCUUAGUCAGAUGCUGCAGACCCGAAACGAAGUGAUCUAUCCAUGAGCAAGUUGAAGCUAGUGUAAGAACUAGUGGAGGACUGAACCCAUAGGCGUUGAAAAGCCCCGGGAUGACUUGUGGAUAGGGGUGAAAGGCCAAUCAAACUUCGUGAUAGCUGGUUCUCUCCGAAAUAUAUUUAGGUAUAGCGUUGUGUCGUAAUAUAAGGGGGUAGAGCACUGAAUGGGCUAGGGCAUACACCAAUGUACCAAACCCUAUCAAACUCCGAAUACCUUAUAUGUAAUCACAGCAGUCAGGCGGCGAGUGAUAAAAUCCGUCGUCAAGAGGGAAACAACCCAGACUACCAGCUAAGGUCCCUAAAUCUUACUUAAGUGGAAAAC
rnacentral:rRNA from 1 species